GACGUAGGGCGCGAGCGUUGUCCGGAUUUAUUGGGCGUAAAGAGCUCGUAGGCGGCUUGUUGCGUCAGCUGUGAAAACCCGCAGCUCAACCGCGGGCCUGCAGCCGAUACGGGCAGGCUAGAGUUCGGUAGGGGAGACUGGAAUCCUGGUGUAGCGGUGAAAUGCGCAGAUAUCAGGAGGAACACCGAUGGCGAAGGCAGGUCUCUGGGCCGAUACUGACGCUGAGGCACGAAAGCGUGGGGAGCAAACAGG
rnacentral:rRNA from 1 species